rnacentral:lncRNA from 1 species
AGAGGACGGCGACGGCGAGGCGAGAGGCCAGCGACGGCGAGCACAGCGAAGGCGGCGGCGGCGAGAGUGGCAAGAAGCACGAAUGGGCGCUGAGGGGCAGAGAGGAGAGGAAAGGGUGGCUGAAAAUUAAAAGAGAGAUGAAAAGAAGAUUAGGUUUUUUGCUUUUAUAUUGUUUGCUUUUUCUGACGGAUUAGCGACGGAAUAAAUUCCGUCGCUAAUAUUUUAAAAAUCCGUCGCUAAUCCGUCGCUAAUCGGUCAGAAAAUUAGACAUAAGGUAUUCGUCGCUGAUCCGUCGCUAAUUCCGUCGCUAAAUUUUUUUUUUCCGACGGAAGUUACUUCCGUCGCUAAAUCCGUCACUGAUACCUUGUUUUUUUGUAGUG